rnacentral:tRNA from 1 species
GCCGACGUAGCUCAGCGGUAGAGCAGCUGAUUCGUAAUCAGCAGGUCGUCGGUUCAAAUCCGACCGUCGGCUCCA